UACAUUUUGAAGGGGAAACUGAGAAUAUCUGUCACUGGAUUGAAUAUGGAAUGUGGAAAAAAAAAGCAAAAUCAAAGAUGAUUAUGAAUUAUAUGGACUGGGCAACUACAAGACUGCCAUUUACUGAGAGGCAGAACACAGUGGGAAAGGGAAGGUAGCAAGUCAGAAGGCUGCAGGAGAAGAACCAAGAAAGAAAGGUGUCCAAAGAAACUAAGAAAUGAAAAUGUAUAGAUACGGGUAAGUUGGAUGUAACUGUGUGAAAAUUAUCUUCUGAUUGUUUCUAUUUACUCAGGGAAACUGGGGCUGGGACAUCAGCAAAAAGUGAGAAAAGGAGAGGAGACACUGGAAAUUUGAGAAAACAUGAGAAUAGGAAUGUGUUAUGGACCAGGAAAGAUUGUCAGGCCUGAAUAAAGUUACAAAUGAAGGAAGAAGUAGAUCCACACAGGACAAAAUAGAGAAAAGGGGACUGAAUUUACCUUCCUGCCUGAAACAACCCAAAACUACACAGAACAUAUGAAACAAUGAUUUUCAAGACACUGAACCUCAGACAACAAAGGACAGUGAUCCUUAAAAGGCAGGAAGCAAACAAGAUGAGCUCUGUGAUUGUACAGGUUAUGCCUCUAGAGAGUUUUACAAGCUCAGGUGCAGGAAGGGAGAACCCAGGCAGAGGCUGACAGAUUUCCUGAGUUGAGGAAACAAAACCAAGACUCCAGGAAAACCACGGUAGCUAUACUUCACAGGACAGAGCAUCAGAGAGGAAAAAACUGCAAAGAACUCCAAAGACUUGCAGAGGGUCUCACUCCAGAAUUCAGAAAAGUUCUGAUUAGCAAAUGUGUCUGAGGAAACUUCUUGAGGCCGGUGAAAAAACUAUUUGAAAUGAUUAUCAGAAACACUGUCUGGUACACAGGUCUGGGAAUAGUGCCUACUCCUAAAAACCACAGAGGAAAACCUCAUAUUCCAUGAGCAUUAGGUAGAGUAUUACUGUAUAAUAAACAAUUUCACUGGACUUUGCUCCUGGUUCCUGAGAGGUAGCCUCUAAACCCUUGGAAUUUCCUGAGUGAUAGGAGUGUCUGUUAUUCAGUGGUGGAUCCCUGAUAGUCUAUGUUAAUUUAGUGAAUCAUAAUAGGUCCCUAGAUAGUUUAUCCUAACAAGAUGACCCAAGGUGGGAGCUAGCCAUCCUAGAAAGAUCAGCCAUGUGAUAAGAGGAUGGGGCUUUGAGGCACAUGAUAUCGGGGGCUCAAGACUGAGUUCAAUCACAUGACCAAUGGCUCAAUCAUCAUGCCUAAUAAGGAAACUCCAAUAAAAACUCAGGACACAAAAGCUCCGGUGUUUAUUCUGUGCAUAUUGUUAUAUAUCAACAUACCAGCAGGGUGACAUGUCCCAGAGGGCACAGAAGCUUCUUGGGUGGGGCCCUCCCAGACUUUGUACUCUGUGACUCUUCUCUCCACUGGCCCUAAUUUGUA